AUUGAACGCUGGCGGCAUGCUUUACACAUGCAAGUCGAACGGCAGCGCGGGCUUCGGCCUGGCGGCGAGUGGCGAACGGGUGAGUAAUGCAUCGGAACGUGCCCAGUAGUGGGGGAUAGCCCGGCGAAAGCCGGAUUAAUACCGCAUACGACCUGAGGGUGAAAGCGGGGGACCGAAAGGCCUUGCGCUAUUGGAGCGGCCGAUGUCGGAUUAGCUAGUUGGUGGGGUAAAGGCUUACCAAGGCGACGAUCCGUAGCUGGUCUGAGGGGACGACCAGCCACACUGGGACUGAGACACGGCCCAGACUCCUACGGGAGGCAGCAGUGGGGAAUUUUGGACAAUGGGGGCAACCCUGAUCCAGCCAUGCCGCGUGCGGGAAGAAGGCCUUCGGGUUGUAAACCGCUUUUGUUCGGGAAGAAAACCUCUGGGCUAAUACCCCGGGGGGAUGACGGUACCGGAAGAAUAAGCACCGGCUAACUACGUG
rnacentral:rRNA from 1 species